UAUCAUUAACUGAAUCCAUAGGUUAAUGAGGCGAACCGGGGGAACUGAAACAUCUAAGUACCCCGAGGAAAAGAAAUCAACCGAGAUUCCCCCAGUAGCGGCGAGCGAACGGGGAGGAGCCCAGAGCCUGAAUCAGCAUGUGUGUUAGUGGAAGCGUCUGGAAAGGCGCGCGAUACAGGGUGACAGCCCCGUACACAAAAGCGCAUGUGCUGUGAGCUCGAUGAGUAGGGCGGGACACGUGGUAUCCUGUCUGAAUAUGGGGGGACCAUCCUCCAAGGCUAAAUACUCCUGACUGACCGAUAGUGAACCAGUACCGUGAGGGAAAGGCGAAAAGAACCCCGGCGAGGGGAGUGAAAAAGAACCUGAAACCGU
rnacentral:rRNA from 9 species